rnacentral:rRNA from 1 species
AUUUAUCGGAGAAGGAUCAGCCCGCGUUGGAUUAGGUAGUUGGUGGGGUAAUGGCCUACCAAGCCGACGAUCCAUAGCUGGUUUGAGAGGAUGAUCAGCCACACUGGGACUGAGACACGGCCCAGACUCCUACGGGAGGCAGCAGUGGGGAAUCUUAGACAAUGGGGGCAACCCUGAUCUAGCCAUGCCGCGUGAGUGAUGAAGGCCUUAGGGUUGUAAAGCUCUUUCAGCUGGGAAGAUAAUGACGGUACCAGCAGAAGAAGCCCCGGCUAACUCCG